CGGCCUGCGCGGAAGAUGUAACGGGGCUAAACCAUGCACCGAAGCUGCGGCAGCGACACUGUGUGUUGUUGGGUAGGGGAGCGUUCUGUAAGCCUGUGAAGGUGUGCUGUGAGGCAUGCUGGAGGUAUCAGAAGUGCGAAUGCUGACAUAAGUAACGAUAAAGCGGGUGAAAAGCCCGCUCGCCGGAAGACCAAGGGUUCCUGUCCAACGUUAAUCGGGGCAGGGUGAGUCGACCCCUAAGGCGAGGCCGAAAGGCGUAGUCGAUGGGAAACAGGUUAAUAUUCCUGUACUUGGUGUUACUGCGAAGGGGGGACGGAGAAGGCUAUGUUGGCCGGGCGACGGUUGUCCCGGUUUAAGCGUGUAGGCUGGUUUUCCAGGCAAAUCCGGAAAAUCAAGGCUGAGGCGUGAUGACGAGGCACUACGGUGCUGAAGCAACAAAUGCCCUGCUUCCAGGAAAAGCCUCUAAGCAUCAGGUAACAUCAAAUCGUACCCCAAACCGACACAGGUGGUCAGGUAGAGAAUACCAAGGCGCUUGAGAGAACUCGGGUGAAGGAACUAGGCAAAAUGGUGCCGUAACUUCGGGAGAAGGCACGCUGAUAUGUAGGUGAAGUCCCUCGCGGAUGGAGCUGAAAUCAGUCGAAGAUACCAGCUGGCUGCAACUGUUUAUUAAAAACACAGCACUGUGCAAACACGAAAGUGGACGUAUACGGUGUGACGCCUGCCCGGUGCCGGAAGGUUAAUUGAUGGGGUCAGCGCAAGCGAAGCUCUUGAUCGAAGCCCCGGUAAACGGCGGCCGUAACUAUAACGGUCCUAAGGUAGCGAAAUUCCUUGUCGGGUAAGUUCCGACCUGCACGAAUGGCGUAAUGAUGGCCAGGCUGUCUCCACCCGAGACUCAGUGAAAUUGAACUCGCUGUGAAGAUGCAGUGUACCCGCGGCAAGACGGAAAGACCCCGUGAACCUUUACUAUAGCUUGACACUGAACAUUGAGCCUUGAUGUGUAGGAUAGGUGGGAGGCUUUGAAGUGUGGACGCCAGUCUGCAUGGAGCCGACCUUGAAAUACCACCCUUUAAUGUUUGAUGUUCUAACGUGGACCCGUGAUCCGGGUUGCGGACAGUGUCUGGUGGGUAGUUUGACUGGGGCGGUCUCCUCCUAAAGAGUAACGGAGGAGCACGAAGGUUGGCUAAUCCUGGUCGGACAUCAGGAGGUUAGUGCAAUGGCAUAAGCCAGCUUGACUGCGAGCGUGACGGCGCGAGCAGGUGCGAAAGCAGGUCAUAGUGAUCCGGUGGUUCUGAAUGGAAGGGCCAUCGCUCAACGGAUAAAAGGUACUCCGGGGAUAACAGGCUGAUACCGCCCAAGAGUUCAUAUCGACGGCGGUGUUUGGCACCUCGAUGUCGGCUCAUCACAUCCUGGGGCUGAAGUAGGUCCCAAGGGUAUGGCUGUUCGCCAUUUAAAGUGGUACGCGAGCUGGGUUUAGAACGUCGUGAGACAGUUCGGUCCCUAUCUGCCGUGGGCGCUGGAGAACUGAGGGGGGCUGCUCCUAGUACGAGAGGACCGGAGUGGACGCAUCACUGGUGUUCGGGUUGUCAUGCCAAUGGCACUGCCCGGUAGCUAAAUGCGGAAGAGAUAAGUGCUGAAAGCAUCUAAGCACGAAACUUGCCCCGAGAUGAGUUCUCCCUGACCCUUUAAGGGUCCUGAAGGAACGUUGAAGACGACGACGUUGAUAGGCCGGGUGUGUAAGCGCAGCGAUGCGUUGAGCUAACCGGUACUAAUGAACCGUGAGGCUUAACCUUACAACGCCGAAGGUGUUU
rnacentral:rRNA from 1 species